GCGCCGGUAGCUCAGUUGGUAGAGCGUCAGCUUCCCAAGCUGAAUGUCGCGAGUUCGAGUCUCGUCCGGCGCU
rnacentral:tRNA from 1 species